GACUUUGUUCUACACACGGAGGUUUCCUCUAGGAGUUCCCGGGACUGGCGAUUCCAGUCUUGUCCUCAUCGUCCUCACAGGCCGUCCUGCUCCGCCUUCCCGGCCCCGGGCUGGCUCCCAGGCCUGUGCUCCAGGCAGGAAGACCAGCUAAGCCUCCUCUGUCCCCGGAUCCCUGAUCCAGGCUCGUCCACACACUUCUCUCUCGCAGGAAUCUGGGGUCGCCAGUCAGAGCCUCCAGCCCUGAGGUUCUCAAACCCUCCUGUGCCUUAGGAUCAUCUGGGGAGCUUGUGAAGGAGGCAGAACCCGGAUCCCGCACCCCACCCAUCAAGAGGAUUGCAGCAGAGACUCGGCCCCUGCGUUAACAGGCACACAGAUGUGCACAGAAAGAAGGUGAGCACCGAGCAGUCGCGAUGGUUAUUUGGUCUAUCCCCGGAGACUGGAUUGAGCUCCCCGUGCUGCACAGGAGGACCUCACUGCUUAUCCAUUCUAAGUGGAAGAGUUUGCAGCUACGAACCCCAAACUCUCCCUCCAUCCCACCCCCUCCCUCCUCCCGAGGGUCUCAUGACGAUACAGAUGGUCCUUCCCAAGGGGAAACGACCGGGGAGGCACCUCCUGACCACUACCGCGCACUGCCGCAGAAGGGACGGGAGGUAUGCGCUGCUGAGAGCCGUGUCCCACCCCUGCAGCCGCAUGUGGAAGUCCCUGGACCAGGGAUCAAA